UCAACCAAUCAUCGCGCUCUUCACUUACUGGGGACAAUUGAAAAUGGCGUAGCUCACUUGGCUGGACGCAGGGAGGCGAAAAGGGGACACCUUUUGGUCUCCUUGUCCCGCUUCCACAAUGCCGAGUGAAAGGUUUUCUGCUAUGUCGAUAUCCUCGACAUGUUUUAGUGGAGAAAAUGAGAGGUUGCCCGGCAGAACCGCCCGUGUCACCGUAGAAUACGAAGACGCGGUCCAGCCAUUGUUAAGCCUCAAAACAUCUCUGCAGCAUCCACACCACCAGGAGCACUCCAAGGAUGGAUGCACGGGAGAACACAUCUGAUCCACACCGAGGGGAUGUGCUUGAACAACCACAACCACCCUCCCCUGGGAUGAAGAAAAAGAAGAAUUUUCCAUGAAGGACCAGAUUUUUUUUUUGAUGGGGGGGGGGGGACACGUUCCCUCCCCCAACGUCUCACAUAUGUCUGUGGUUUGGACCAAGCCUGUGGACUGACCUGGAGCGAAUACAGCAAGUUACACUCAUGCUUAAAAUUAUUGUUAUUAUUUUUCUUCUUUUUAAUUUUAUUACAGAAAUUCCACCAAUGGAAGUCAAUCCGAUAUGUUUUGAUGAUGAGAUAGAAAUUAUAUAAUUAACAAUUUAUCCCCACAUUAUGGUGAAGUACAUGGAAAAUCCCUGUGUUGGUAUUUUGGGUGGAUUUUUUUUUUUUUUGUGAACAACAAAUGCGAGCGAAAUGAGUGGGCAAACCUCAUUUGUCAUUUGGAUGUCCUUCAAAUGAAUACUGGUCGAAGUCCACUCCGUACAAAUAUGAAGCACAUAGUUUAAGACAUGCAAAACUGUAGCAAGUGUGAUUUUCAUCUCUUUUUUUUUUUUGCUUCCUCAGAGGAUGAGCAUCAGGUUCAGUUCAUUUCGAGAUAUGUAUGAGUGUAUAUAUUUGGGCUGCGACUAACAAUUGUUUUGAUCAUCGAUUUAAUGUGGUGAUUAUUUUUGUUUGAUUCAUUGAAUUGGAAAAAAAAAUUAAGUUAAUUUCCAUACCGUCAUUCAAAAACAGAUCAUUUCAUAUAAACAUAAAUCGAUUGUAUUGUGGUUCGGUCCACACUGUCAGAAAAUAGGCAAAAAUUAAUUGGUUUUCAAAGUAAAAGCAGUGUUUGCAAAUGUCUUUUUUUCUUUUAAACAACAAAGAUAGUUUGCUUUCGUGGAAGAUGACAGAAAUUGGACAUUGCAAUUCUUAAGAGUUGGACAAUUUUAAGUGACUAAAGAAUUAAUUAUCGAAGUAGUUGUUGAUUAAUUUGGUCAUCACAGUUAGUCGAUUAAUUAGGUUUGAGUUUGAUCGCAAAAGAAAUCAAAUAUUUCCAUGUAAGGUCACAAAAAAUAGUUUGUCCAACGUGAAGGGUUCAAAAUACGUCCUCAUUUGAAAACAAAAGAAUCCUCUGCUUCUACUGUUAUUUUCAUUGAGAAAAAAAAAUGCAAUUCAAUAGUUUAAAAAAUAUGUGUGAUAAUUGAGUCACACACUUUGUAUUGAUUAUACAGAUUUAGGUGUAAUAAAUCAGUGUUCAACUUUUCGCAUAAUGCAUGUUCUAUUUAUGAUGCUAAUUUUAAAAUAAGAUGUCUUCUUUGUCCUUUUAUUCAUUUGAGCACGAUACCGUAAAGAGAAAUUGUUUGUCAUGCUAACAUUAUUUUAAUAAGUAAAAUUAAUCCAUUAUAAAAAAAGCACAUUUUUAGUUGAAUAUGUUAUGCUAAUUUUAUGACAGUAUAAUCAAGAAAACAAAAAAAAUAGUUGUAUUUGUGUAUAUUAGUUUAAUGCCAUUUUAUUUGUUCAAAAUUGAGUAUGAAUAAAAAUACUUUGAUUUGCAUUUAUUUCAAUUUGCACUCAAAUAAAACUAAAUGAUUUGCUUCUGUCGAUAUAUUUUAUCCUCUCAAUAUUACCUUAAUGAAUUCACUUGAAAGAAAAAAAAAGAUACAUUUGAUUUUUUUAUUUACAAUGCAAAUUUCAGUAUCGAUAAAAUGUAUUCCUCAUCGUCAUUUCAGUACAAUUAAUACAAUCAAAUAUCUCAAACGGUGUCUUUUAUUUCCGUACGUUUGUAGAAAACGAAAAACUUUGAUCGGGCAGCGUGCAAUAUUGCAUCCAAACAUGUCACCUUGUUGACUGAUGCUGUGUGUAUUUAUAUGAUAUUGUGAAAAACAAACAAAACAAGUGACACGUUGUUUGAAAAGCAACAAAAUCACCAACGUCUUCCAUUUAAAAUUUGUAUAGUCUCAUUUUAGUCUUCUGCAUUUAGAUGCUCAUACUUACCGUCAUAUAUACUCACCAUAUAAUGCAUGAUGCCUGCUUUAAUGCAACGCAGAUGAAUAAUCUCCCCGAAAAAAAAAUAUACAUAAUUAAAAAAAAAAACAUUUAGAUGCAUGAUUCACCUUUUCCUUUCAUAAAUGCACGCAAGCAACAAAUAAUUCCAAUAAUAGCACAAUUGAAUCGAAACAACGGGACCGAAAUGAUUUUCCAAUGGAUUUUCCAGCCCUUUUGCGACAUUGUGUUGUACAUACAUGACGUGUAAUCCAGAAAAUUGUACAUGAUUAUUGGGGUUAGAUUAGCAGCAAUAAAUGCAUGAUUUACGGGUGUCGCCUUGGGUGGCAGAGGCGCAACUGCCCGACUGCAACUUUCUGUUUUCAAAAUAGAUUUUGUCAGGCAUCUAACCCUCCUGUCUCGUUAUGUUUCUCAGGAACGGAAACAGUGUUGGGGUCAGCGCAUCUGUGUCAGAAAAUGGGGAAUCUACCAAUAAACGUUAUUUUGAGAAGAAAGAAAACUACAUUUAACUCUU